rnacentral:pre_miRNA from 1 species
CUGCUGCGUUUUGCACUCAGUAACAGAGAUUCAUCCUUGAGUCUAGCAAAUAACAAGGGGAAUCUUUGUCACUAAGUGCAAUUAACAGUAUUCA